rnacentral:lncRNA from 1 species
UGGCAAGCUCCUUCCUCCCCGGGAAAUCGAGGCAGCAAAGCCUCCAGGCCUCCUCCUGAGGCUAGGUGAGGAGGAGGGGCCGCAGGUGCCGGUGCCUGGACCCGGUCCAGGCACUGGGAAGAGUGCACAGGUUGUGACCGCAGGUGGCAGAGUGCCAGUGCCACCACUCCAUGCUUGGCAGCCUUGGGGCAUGCUGGUCUUCUCUGAGCCUCUCAUCUGGACAUGGGCCGCCCCCCCACCAGGGGUUAGUGAGACUUGUUAGGCCCAUGUAACCCCUCAGUGCGUGUUUGGGGGCCUGACAGUGGCUCAGGAAAGGAUCCACCCUCUGGAACCCCCAGCCUGGCCUCAGAGGAGCUCCAUCGGGCAUUACCACCUCCCAGCUGGAUGACCUUGAGCAGUUUCGUUUCUCUGUUUGGUGAAGCCCUGAUGGGUGUGUCCCAGGCCCCGGCCCCGGCCCGCCGCCUGCCCGCUCC